UACGAAGGGGGCUAGCGUUGCUCGGAAUCACUGGGCGUAAAGGGUGCGUAGGCGGGUCUUUAAGUCAGGGGUGAAAUCCUGGAGCUCAACUCCAGAACUGCCUUUGAUACUGAGGAUCUUGAGUUCGGGAGAGGUGAGUGGAACUGCGAGUGUAGAGGUGAAAUUCGUAGAUAUUCGCAAGAACACCGGUGGCGAAGGCGGCCAACUGGACCAGUACUGACGCUGAGGCGCGAAAGCGUGGGGAGCAAACAGG
rnacentral:rRNA from 1 species